rnacentral:rRNA from 1 species
GAUGAACGCUAGCUACAGGCUUAACACAUGCAAGUCGAGGGGCAGCAUGAUUGAAGCUUGCUUCAAUUGAUGGCGACCGGCGCACGGGUGAGUAACACGUAUCCAACCUGCCGAUAACUCGGGGAUAGCCUUUCGAAAGAAAGAUUAAUACCCGAUAGUAUAGUAUUUCCGCAUGGUUUCACUAUUAAAGAAUUUCGGUUAUCGAUGGGGAUGCGUUCCAUUAGAUAGUUGGCGGGGUAACGGCCCACCAAGUCAACGAUGGAUAGGGGUUCUGAGAGGAAGGUCCCCCACAUUGGAACUGAGACACGGUCCAAACUCCUACGGGAGGCAGCAGUGAGGAAUAUUGGUCAAUGGACGAGAGUCUGAACCAGCCAAGUAGCGUGAAGGAUGACUGCCCUAUGGGUUGUAAACUUCUUUUAUACGGGAAUAAAGUGGAGUAUGCAUACUCCUUUGUAUGUACCGUAUGAAUAAGGAUCGGCUAACUCCGUGCCAGCAGCUGCGGUAAUACGGAGGAUCCGAGCGUUAUCCGGAUUUAUUGGGUUUAAAGGGAGCGUAGGCGGGUGCUUAAGUCAGUUGUGAAAGUUUGCGGCUCAACCGUAAAAUUGCAGUUGAUACUGGGCGCCUUGAGUGCAGCAUAGGUAGGCGGAAUUCGUGGUGUAGCGGUGAAAUGCUUAGAUAUCACGAAGAACUCCGAUUGCGAAGGCAGCUUACUGGACUGUAACUGACGCUGAUGCUCGAAAGUGUGGGUAUCAAACAGGAUUAGAUACCCUGGUAGUCCACACAGUAA